rnacentral:rRNA from 1 species
CCCUUAGAUGUUCUGGGCCGCACGCGCGCUACACUGAUCAGUGCAACAAGCAUCCGUCCUUGGCCGACAGGCCCGGGCAAUCUUUGAACGCUGGUCGUGAUGGGGAUAGACUUUUGCAAUUUUUGGUCUUCAACGAGGAAUUCCUAGUAAACGCAAGUCAUCAACUUGCAUUGAUUACGUCCCUGCCCUUUGUACACACCGCCCGUCGCACCUACCGAUUGAAUGGUCCGGUGAAGCCUCCGGAUUGGCGCGCACCUCGGUGCCGCCGAGAAGUUGGCUAAACCUUACCAUUUAGAGGAAGGUGAAGUCGUAACA